rnacentral:tRNA from 1 species
GGUUUUCGUGGGUAUUAGUUGACUUGAAAUCAAUUUAAGGGUGUUCGACUCACCUAAAAGCUU